AACGAACGCUGGCGGCAGGCUUAACACAUGCAAGUCGAACGCCCCGCAAGGGGAGUGGCAGACGGGUGAGUAACGCGUGGGAAUCUACCUAGUUCUACGGAACAACAGUUGGAAACGACUGCUAAUACCGUAUACGCCCUACGGGGGAAAGAUUUAUCGGAAUUAGAUGAGCCCGCGUAAGAUUAGCUAGUUGGUGGGGUAAUGGCCUACCAAGGCUACGAUCUUUAGCUGGUCUGAGAGGAUGAUCAGCCACACUGGGACUGAGACACGGCCCAGACUCCUACGGGAGGCAGCAGUGGGGAAUAUUGGACAAUGGGCGCAAGCCUGAUCCAGCCAUGCCGCGUGAGUGAUGAAGGCCUUAGGGUUGUAAAGCUCUUUCACCGAUGAAGAUAAUGACGGUAGUCGGAGAAGAAGCCCCGGCUAACUUCGUGCCAGCCGCCGCCGUAACAC
rnacentral:rRNA from 1 species